GACGAACGCUGGCGGCGUGCUUAACACAUGCAAGUCGAACGGUAAGGCCCUGCGGGGUACACGAGUGGCGAACGGGUGAGUAACACGUGGGUGAUCUGCCCUGCACUUCGGGAUAAGCCUGGGAAACUGGGUCUAAUACCGGAUAGGACCACUGCCUGCAUGGGUGGUGGUGGAAAGCUUUUGCGGUGUGGGAUGGGCCCGCGGCCUAUCAGCUUGUUGGUGGGGGGAUGGCCUACCAAGGCGACGACGGGUAGCCGGCCUGGGAGGGGGGCCGGCCACACUGGGACUGAGAUACGGCACAGACUCCUACGGGAGGCAGCAGUGGGGAAUAUUGCACAAUGGGCGCAAGCCUGAUGCAGCGACGCCGCGUGAGGGAUGACGGCCUUCGGGUUGUAAACCUCUUUCAGCACCGACGAAGCGCAAGUGACGGUAGGUGCAGAAGAAGGACCGGCCAACUACGUGCCAGCCGCCGCCGUAA
rnacentral:rRNA from 1 species